rnacentral:ribozyme from 13 species
GAAGAAGAAAAGAAGGGCAUCGGCAUUUUUAAACAAGAGUUGGAACCCUUGUAAGGUUCUAGUCGAAUCUUCUCGCUUCCCUUUAUCCUCGUUCUUUUCUUCUUUUAUUUUUUUUAUUUUCCCUUCUGCUCGAUCCAAUUCCUCAAAUGUCUUUAAAGCUAAAAAGCAAGGAAUGGACAACGCAGCGUAGGCGAAGAAUAAGAGUC